rnacentral:rRNA from 1 species
CAUGGCCCCCACCACUGGGACUGAGAAACUGCCCAGACACCUACGGGUGGCUGCAGUCGAGGAUCUUCGUCAAUGGGCGAAAGCCUGAACGAGCGACGCCGCGUGCGGGAUGAAGGCCCUUGGGUUGUAAACCGCUGUCAGGGGGGAUGAAACCGUAAGGUUGACAGAGCCCCAGAGGAAGCACGGGCUAAGUUCGUGCCAGCAGCCGCGGUAAUACGAACUGUGCGAACGUUACUCGGAAUCACUGGGCUUACAGGGUGCGUAGGUGGCUUGUUAAGCAGGGUGUGAAAUCCCUCGGCUCGACCGAGGAACUGCGCUCUGAACUGGCGAGCUGGAGUAUGCUAGAGGUGAAUGGAACAUCCAGUGGAGCGGUGAAAUGUGUUGAUAUUGGAUGGAACACCAGAGGCGAAGGCGAUUCACUGGGGCAUAACUGACACUGAGGCACGAAAGCCAGGGGAGCAAACGGGAUUAGAUACCCCGGUAGUCCUGGCCGUAAACGAUGAGAACUGAGCGGGGGGUGGCUUGCCAUUCCCGGCUGUAGCGAAAGCGUUAAGUUCU